CAAUAUGUAUGCAAUCCAAUACAUUUAACUGAUCAUAUGAGUUAGAGAUGGAUUAGGGGUGUUUUGACAACACUUAUAUCCAUUUUCUCCCAAAAGAGGCUAAAACCAACAAAAAACUGCUUAAAAGCAGUAAACAGUUUUGUUAGUGUUUUUAUGGUAAAUAUGUGUCACAAUCCAAUGCAUUUGACCAAUUAUAAGAGUUAAAGAUGUGUUAGGAGUGUUUAGACAACACUUAUAGCCAUUUUCUUCCAAAAGACGCUAAAACCAAGAAAAAAUUGCUUAGAAGCAGUAAAUAGCUUUGUUAGUCUUUGUAUGGUCUAAAUGUGUCACAAUCCAAAGCAUUUGACUAAUUAUACGAGUUAGAGAUGGAUUAGGAGUGUUUAGACAACACUUAUACCCAUUUUCUCCCAAAAGAGGCUAAAACCAACAAAAAUUUGCUUUGAAGCAGUAAAUAUAUUUGUUAGUGUUUCUAUGGUCAAAAUGUGUCACAAUCCAAUGCAUUGGACUAAUUAUAAGAGUUAGAGAAGGAUUAGGAGUGUUUAGACAACACUUAUACCCAUUUUCUCCCAAAAGAGGUUAAAACAAACAAAAAAUUGCUUAGAAGCAGUAAACAGUUCUGUUAGUGUUUUGAUAGUCAAAAUGUGUCACAAUCCAAUGCAUUUGACUAAUUAUAAGAGUUAAAGAUGGAUUAAGAGUGUUUAGACAUCACUUAUACCCAUUUUCUCCCAGAAGCGGAUAAAACCAACAAAACAUUGCUUAGAGGCAGUAAAUAGCUUUGUUAGAGUUUCUAUGGUCAAAAAGUGUCACAAUCCAAAGCCUUUGACUAAUUAUAAGAGUUAGAGAUGGAUUUGGAGUGUUUAGACAACACUUAUACCCAUUUUCUCCCAAAAGAGGCUAAAACAACCAAAACAUUGCUUAGAAGUAGUAAACAGUUCUAUGUGUGUUUUGAUGGUCAAAAUGUGUCACAAUCCAAUGCAUUUGACUAAUUAUAAGAGUUAAAGAGAGAUUAGGAGUGUUUAGACAACACUUAUAUCAAGGUUUUCUCAAAAGAGGCUAAAACAACCAAAAAAUUGAUUAGAAUCUGUAAAUUGCUUCGUUAGUGUUUUUAUGGUCAAAAUGUGUCACAAUCCAAUGCAUUUUAAUAAUAAUAAGAGUUAGAGAUGGAUUAGGAGUCUUUAGACAACACUUAUACCCAUUUUCUCCCAAAAGCGGCUAAAACCAUCAAAAAUUUGCUUAGAAGCAGUAAAUAGGGUUGUUAGUGUUUCUAUUGUAAAAAUUUGUCACAAUCUAAUGCAUUUGACUAAUUAUAAGAGUUAGAGAUAGAUUAAGAGUGUUUAAACAAUACUUAUACCCAUUUUCUCUCAAAAGAGGCUAAAACCAACAAAAGAUUGCUUACAAGCAGUAAACAGUUUUAUUAGUGUUUUUAUGGUCAAAAUGUGUCACAAUCCAAUGCAUUUGACUAAUAAUAAGAGUUAGAGAUGGAUUAGGAGUGUUUAGACAACACUUAUACCCAUUUUCUCCCAAAAGAGGCUAAAACCAACAAAAAAUUGCUUACAAGCAAUAAACAGUUUUGUUAGUGUUUUUAUGGUCAAAAUGUGUUACAAUCCAAUGCAUUUGACCAAUUAUAAGAGUUAGAGAUGGAUUAGGAGUGUUUAGACAACACUAAUACCUAUUUUCUCUCAAAAGAAGCUAAACCCAACAAAAAAUUGCUUAGAAGCAGUAAACAGUUCUGUUAGUGUUUUGAUGGUCAACAUGUGUCAUAAUCCAAUGCAUUUGACUAAUUAUAAGAA
rnacentral:sRNA from 1 species